rnacentral:rRNA from 1 species
ACACAUGCAGUCGAACGAUGAUCCCAGCUUGCUGGGGGAUUAGUGGCGAACGGGUGAGUAACACGUGAGUAACCUGCCCUUAACUCUGGGAUAAGCCUGGGAAACUGGGUCUAAUACCGGAUAUGACUCCUCAUCGCAUGGUGGGGGGUGGAAAGCUUUAUUGUGGUUUUGGAUGGACUCGCGGCCUAUCAGCUUGUUGGUGAGGUAAUGGCUCACCAAGGCGACGACGGGUAGCCGGCCUGAGAGGGUGACCGGCCACACUGGGACUGAGACACGGCCCAGACUCCUACGGGAGGCAGCAGUGGGGAAUAUUGCACAAUGGGCGAAAGCCUGAUGCAGCGACGCCGCGUGAGGGAUGACGGCCUUCGGGUUGUAAACCUCUUUCAGUAGGGAAGAAGCGAAAGUGACGGUACCUGCAGAAGAAGCGCCGGCUAACUACGUGCCAGCAGCCGCGGUAAUACGUAGGGCGCAAGCGUUAUCCGGAAUUAUUGGGCGUAAAGAGCUCGUAGGCGGUUUGUCGCGUCUGCCGUGAAAGUCCGGGGCUCAACUCCGGAUCUGCGGUGGGUACGGGCAGACUAGAGUGAUGUAGGGGAGACUGGAAUUCCUGGUGUAGCGGUGAAAUGCGCAGAUAUCAGGAGGAACACCGAUGGCGAAGGCAGGUCUCUGGGCAUUAACUGACGCUGAGGAGCGAAAGCAUGGGGAGCGAACAGGAUUAGAUACCCUGGUAGUCCAUGCCGUAAACGUUGGGCACUAGGUGUGGGGGACAUUCCACGUUUUCCGCGCCGUAGCUAACGCAUUAAGUGCCCCGCCUGGGGAGUACGGCCGCAGGCUAAACUCAAAGGAAUUGACGGGGGCCCGCACAAGCGGCGGAGCAUGCGGAUUAAUUCGAUGCACGCGAAGAACCUUACCAAGGCUUGACAUGAACCGGAAAGACCUGGAAACAGGUCCCYCGCUUGCGUCGGUUUACAGGUGGUGCAUGGUUGUCGUCAGCUCGUGUCG